rnacentral:rRNA from 1 species
GACGAACGCUGGCGGCGUGCUUAACACAUGCAAGUCGAGCGACGCUCUUCCUUCGGGGAGAUGACGGAGCGGCGAACGGGUGAGUAACACGUGGGCAACCUGCCCCUAGCUCUGGGACAACACCGGGAAACCGGUGCUAAUACCGGAUACGACAUCGAGCGGCAUCUCUCGAUGUGGAAAGUUUUUUCGGCUAGGGAUGGGCCCGCGGCCUAUCAGCUUGUUGGUGGGGUAAUGGCCCACCUAGGCGACGACGGGUAGCCGGCCUGAGAGGGCGACCGGCCACACUGGGACUGAGACACGGCCCAGACUCCUACGGGAGGCAGCAGUGGGGAAUAUUGCGCAAUGGGCGAAAGCCUGACGCAGCGACGCCGCGUGAGGGAUGACGGCCUUCGGGUUGUAAACCUCUUUCAGCAGGGACGAAUUCAGACGGUACCUGCAGAAGAAGCACCGGCCAACUACGUG